rnacentral:rRNA from 1 species
AGGACGAACGCUGGCGGCGUGCUUAAAACAUGCAAGUCGAACGAGACCUUUGGUCUAGUGGCGAACGGCGGAGUAAUACAUAAGCAACCUGCCUCAAAGACCGGGAUAGCCCCUCGAAAGAGGGAUUAAUACCGGAUGUGGCCUUUUGUGGGCAUCCACGAAAGAUUAAAACGAGCAAUCGGCUUUGAGAGGGGCUUGUGGCCUAUCAGCUUGUUGGUGGGGUAAUGGCCUACCAAGGCUUCGACGGGUAGCGGGUCUGAGAGGAUGAUCCGCCCGACUGGGACUGAGACACGGCCCAGACUCCUACGGGAGGCAGCAGUUGGGAAUCUUGCACAAUGGGCGAAAGCCUGAUGCAGCGACGCCGCGUGGAGGACGAAGUCUUCGGAUGUAAACUCCUUUUUCCAGGAACGAUAAUGACGGUACCUGGUGAAUAAGCCCGGCUAACUACGUGCCAGCAGCCGC